rnacentral:rRNA from 1 species
AGAGUUUGAUCAUGGCUCAGGAUAAACGCUGGCGGCGUGCCUAACACAUGCAAGUCGAACGCUCUUGAGAGGGCAACUUCUCAAGGGAGUGGCGGACGGGUGAGGAACACGUGGGUUAUCUACCUUGAGGUGAGGAAUACCGGCGAGAAAUCGCCGACAAUACCGCAUACGUUUGGAAACAAACAAAGUCCCGGGCGACCGGGACGCCACAAGAUGAGCCUGCGCCCGAUUAGCUAGGUUGGUGGGGUAAAAGCCUACCAAGGCGACAAUCGGUAGCUGGUCUGAGAGGACGAUCAGCCACACUGGGAUUGAGAACGGCCCAGACUCCUACGGGGGGCAGCAGUGAGGAAUUUUCGUCAAUGGGGGCAACCCUGAACGAGCAACGCCGCGUGCAGGAAGAAGGUUUUCGGAUCGUAAACUGCUUUUCUUGGGGAAGAGAAACGGACGGUACCCAAGGAACAAGCCCCGGCUAACUACGUGCCAGCAGCCGCGGUAAUACGUAGGGGGCAAGCGUUGUCCGGAUUUAUUGGGCGUAAAGCGCACGCAGGCGGUCUUGUGAGUUUCGAGUGACAGGUGGUGGCUCAACUGCCACAGGCCUUGGAAAACGGCAAGACUUGAGGACUUCAGAGGGAGGCGGAAUUCCAGGUGGAGCGGUGAAAUGCGUAGAGAUCUGGAAGAACACCAAAGGCGAAGGCAGCCUCCUGGGAAGUAUCUGACGCUCGGGUGCGAAAGCUAGGGGAGCGAACGGGAUUAGAUACCCUAGUAGUCC